rnacentral:misc_RNA from 1 species
UCUCCGUAGGUGAACCUGCGGAGGGAUCAUUACAGAGUUCGUGCCCUCACGGGUAGAUCUCCCACCCUGUGUUAUUAUACCUUUGUUGCUUUGGCGGGCCGCCCUCGGCUACCGGCCCCGGCUGGUACGCGCCCGUCAGAGGACCCCAAACUCUGAAUGUUAGUGUCGUCUGAGUACUAUACAAUAGUUAAAACUUUCAACAACGGAUCUCUUGGUUCUGGCAUCGAGAAGAACGCAGC